AACGAACGCUGGCGGCAUGCCUAACACAUGCAAGUCGAACGAGACCUUCGGGUCUAGUGGCGCACGGGUGCGUAACGCGUGGGAACCUGCCCUUAGGUUCGGAAUAACUCCCCGAAAGGGGUGCUAAUACCGGAUAAUGUCUUCGGACCAAAGAUUUAUCGCCUUUGGAUGGGCCCGCGUUGGAUUAGCUAGUUGGUAGGGUAAAAGCCUACCAAGGCGACGAUCCAUAGCUGGUCUGAGAGGAUGAUCAGCCACACUGGGACUGAGACACGGCCCAGACUCCUACGGGAGGCAGCAAUGGGGAAUAUUGGACAGUGGGCGGAAGCCUGAUCCAGCAAUGCCGCGUGAGUGAUGAAGGCCUUAGGGUUGUAAAGCUCUUUUACCCGGGAUGAUAAUGACAGUACCGGGAGAAUAAGCACCGGCUAACUCCGUG
rnacentral:rRNA from 1 species